ACUCAAAGGAAUUGACGGGGACUCGCACAAGCGGUGGAGCAUAUGGUUUAAUUCGAUGACAAGCGAGGAACCUUACCAGGGUUUGAAAUUCUGCUGUAAGCCUUCUGAAAGGAAGGCCCUCCCUCAAAGGACAGUAGAACAGGUGCUGCAUGGUUGUCGUCAGCUCGUGUCUUGAGAUGUUCCAUUAAGUUGGUUAACGAGCGCAACCCUUACCCCCUGUUAUAAGUGUCAGUGGGAACUGCCCAACUCUGUUGGGAGGAAGGAGAGGAUGACGUCAAAUCAGCAUGGCCCUCUGAUACCCUGGGCUACACAUAUGCUACAAUGGCCGUUACAAUGGGUUGCCAAGCCGCAAGGCGGAGCUAAUCCCAUCAAAGACGGCCCCAGUUCGGAUUGAAGGCUGCAACUCGCCUUCAUGAAGCCGGAAUCGCUAGUAAUCGCGGAUCAGCCACGCCGCGGUGAAUACGUUCUCGAGUCUUGUACACACCGCCCGU
rnacentral:rRNA from 1 species